AGAAAAGCAUUGUCUGGGCUGAGAACUUAUGGGAAGAUGUCCCUUUGGGAGAACUCCUCCUGCAUAGCCGGUUCCCUGCCAUUUGGCAGUCCUUGGUAAGACAUCUCCAGGAGUCUGGCAUAUGGGAACUGAUGUUAAGGCAGCUCCCCAAGGAGCCUGCCAACCCCGGCCCACAUUAAGGGCUGCAUGCUGAGGCUCCAGGGCACAAUCUCUAGUCAAGUCUCCAGAGACCAGUUGCAAAGGAGACAUGAAAGACAUACACACUCCCAUUCUUGCCAAGCUGCUAGAAUUAAAGCUGGUUACAGCAGUGUGAAAAACC